CGAACUCAACCGACAGCUGCCGAUUCUUCACCCUUACUUUUCACGUCAUGAAUGCUCGUCAGCUCGUGAGACGUGACGCCGUGUCCUGAAAAAAAAAAGACCCGUCCCGGCGACCCCCACACCCUUCAAUCCGGGGAAAAAAAGCAACAGCUCGAUUGCCCGGGUCUUCCAAAACCCUCGAGAUCUCGGUUGGUGGUGUGGUGGGGUGGGGUGCUCUUCCCUCUCGCCUCCGCUCCGAAGCAUCGAUCCGAACUCCUCGGUUACUCGCGGCAGCGGCGUGUCGAGAUGCGCCCCAACAUUAUCACAGAGGCUGGGAUUCCAACUAGGUUGAAUCAGUGGUGGAGCAGCAUUCCGUUUGUUACUUCUGGUGUUAUCUUGAUAUGUGGAGUAAUUUAUCUGCUCUGCUUGUUGAUUGGCUAUGAUUCCUAUGUGGAGAUAUGCUUCUUGCCUUCUGCUGUAGCAUCACAUUUUCAAGUAUACAGGUUCUACACAUCUGUUCUCUUUCAUGGUUCUUUGCUUCAUGUGCUAUUCAACAUGCUUGCCUUGGUACCCUUGGGCACUGAGUUGGAGAGAAUCAUGGGAUCAGUCCGUCUCUUAUUCUUGAUGCUCCUUCUUGCAACAACAAAUGCAAUUCUCCAUCUCACAAUUGCUUUCUUGGUGGCUUACAAUCCUCUGUAUCACGUUCCAAAUCUUGUGAAUGAAUGCUCCAUUGGCUUUUCUGGAGUUAUAUUCUCAAUGAUUGUCAUUGAGACAAGUCUGAGUGGUGUGCAAUCACGAAGUGUCUUCGGCCUCUUCAAUGUUCCUGCAAAAUGGUACGCAUGGAUUUUGCUAGUGCUAUUUCAGUUUCUCGCAAGCAAUGUUUCAUUGCUGGGACACCUUUGUGGCAUCUUGUCAGGAUUUGCAUACACUUAUGGGCUGUUCAACUACUUGCUUCCUGGGCCAUCAUUUUAUUCUAAAAUCGAAGGCUUGUCAGCACUAUCUGUUUGUGUGAGGCGUCCUGGCUUUAUUAUGUGUACUGGAGGCACUACUUAUGGUCAGCUUCCUACAUACUCUAACACGUCUGCUGCACCAAGUGCUCUCAUAAAUGGAAAUUUCUUGAGAAAUAUAUCUUCAUGGAUGCCUAGCAGACACACAUCAACUGCUCAGGAAGGAGAAGACCCAAGGUUUCCUGGGAGAGCACGAACACUUGGUUCUGUAGGAACUGAACCCACUGCAAGGGAGGCAAGUGCGCAUUUGCAUGCUAGGUUGUUGGAUAACACAACUCCAAGUGACCCACUAACGAAUACACAGACUCAUGUUUUCUUCUAUAAAAAACUCGGCCAAGGAGUGAAUGACUGCCCUCCCGAUAUAAUAUUAAGAAGAGACCGAAACAAAGGUCCCGACCGGAAAAUCCCCGAACCAUAGCCUCCCAUCACUAACAGAUCGGCGUCAACCGUCCACUUUGCAACGGCCCAACCGGAGGGUGGCACACAUGACAUCAUAACUCAAGAGCGGAUGAGGCACAAUGAGGCAUACAGCUGUGAACACAGUCAGAGCUGAUGCAACAGUGACAGCUGAGCAGGUUGAUACAUUUGAUGAAGAACUUAAGAAGCUGGUUGGAAUGGGCUUUGAAAAGCGUCGUUGGAGAGGACGUCGUCCACCAGAGAAGAGACGGCAGCUGUUGCUCGUUCACGAGUAGCACGAUCCUGAGCCUGGGCCACGCGCUCACGUUCCUCCUAUGCAGCACGAAGCUCCUCAGCGCGCUGGAGAGACGUGGCAGCAGUGGCGUGGGUGGGGGAAGCGUGGGGCAUCCCAAGGUGAAGAACCUCGGUGCAGGAGGUGUCUGGUGCAGGAGGUGUCUUCGGUCGGCGGCGGGGGAGUGCCAGCCAUGGAGCAGCACCGAGCAGAUGGGGUGCGCUGAUGCGGAAACGGAGAAUGGAAAAAGGAACCUAGGUGUCUGAUACCAUACUCAGGCUGAAGUUGCUCUUGCUGCAGCUGAUGGGGAUCCAAAUGUUGCCAUUGAGAUUCUGAUGAGUCAGCAGGGUUGAAGUUUGACCAUAAAGUACAAAUUGAAAGGAAGCACGGUAUCGAGCCAUUUUUUGUUCUUACAAAGGUUCAAAAAGUAGGCUGUGGUUUGGGGAGUCUGAAAAAGGAUGGCUGCAAUCUUGUUUAUACCGGGGGUGCAGAAACAACGUGCAGCCUAAUUGCAAUUCUCAAGGCUUUAUGUAAGGUAGAAAGUAACGUUGGAUGUUCUGUUAAAUACGAACAAUCAGAAAAUGCUGAAUUUAGUCUGAAAAUAGCCAGUGUGUUUGUUUUAGCUUGCAGAUUAUUACAAUCUACAAGCCAGGGGAAACUAGAUUAUUGGGCUGUAACAAUAAGACUUUGACGUUGGGACUGGUUCCCUUUUGAGAUUGUGGAUCCGUCCUGCGUUGAGACCUUUUUAGCGGCCUAUGAAUUUUCACAUGGGAAAAAUCUGCAAAAAUAAUGCAUAA